CACGUAGGCUGACUUUUAAGUCAGGGGUGAAAUCCCGAGGCUCAACCUCGGAGCUGCCUUUGAUACUGGAAGUCUUGAGUCCGAGAGAGGUGAGUGGAACUCCGAGUGUAGAGGUGAAAUUCGUAGAUAUUCGGAAGAACACCAGUGGCGAAGGCGGCUCACUGGCUCGGUACUGACGCUGAGGUGCGAAAGCGUGGGGAGCAAACA
rnacentral:rRNA from 1 species